rnacentral:tRNA from 1 species
GCUCGUAUGGCGCAGUGGUAGCGCAGCAGAUUGCAAAUCUGUUGGUCCUUAGUUCGAUCCUGAGUGCGAGCUCCA